GAUUGCCCGUGCUCAGCACGGGCCCAACAUGAUAAAUCUAUUUUCCAUACAUAAUUUAUUUAAGUUAUGUUUUUGUAUUAGUAAAGAUCAGGAUGAUCAAGUUAGGAAUAAAGUAUAUCAUUCAAUCUGCAAAUUAUAUGCAACACCAAAUCAUAGAUAAAAUAGAAGACAUUAAAUGUUGACACAACUCAAACAACUUGCACCCAAAAAAAAAAUUUCUAAAUUAUUGAACACUAACCUUAGUUUAAGCAAAUUAAAAAUGAUGAUACAGAGAAAUGGAGUGCAUGAUCUGCCAAACCCUAUUUGCCAUUAGCCUUACUCUUAAUAUUAAUGAUUUGAGCCGUCUCUUUCCAGAUUAAAACAAUGUAGCUUUACUACUCUUGACCUGAGAUUUGCAAUUCAAUAAAUCAAAAGCCNNNN
rnacentral:lncRNA from 1 species